rnacentral:tRNA from 2 species
AGUAGAGUGGCUGAGGUAAUAAGGUGAUAGAUUGUAAAUCUAUUAAGGGGAGUUUUCCUUUCUACUA